rnacentral:lncRNA from 1 species
UUUCUUUUCUUCUUCUCUCUAUACGUUGGUGUUCUAACCAAUAAUCACCGAUGCGAUGUUCUGUCCGAUCGAUUCAGGAACCAACUAACGGAUGCCAAAGUGCUAUACUUUGAGAGUUCGUUAAACGGAUGCCAAAGUGCUAUACUUUGAGAGUUCGUUAAACGGAUGCCAAAGUGCUAUACUUUGUGAUUUCGGUAAACGGAAUCCAAAGUAUUACACUUUGUGAAUUUUGUUAAGGUUCGAAUCUCGUGACUACCGUUAGGUUUGAUUUGGGUUUUACACAAAUACGUAUUCCAUUCUGUUAAACUAUAUGUUUAACUACCAGAAUACUCCCAACUACACACUUACAAUCAAACAAGCUGUUAAAUCAUCAGAAGAUUCAGAACAAAUAAAGUAUACGCUUAAUUAUCAAAAGGAAUAGAAUCAAGAAGCUUGCUAAAUCAUGCUUAUACUGUAAUUACAGUAGAUUGGAGUAAGAAUUGGAUCCGGCACUGAAGGACUUCAAGAAGUGGCUUAUUUUAUUAAUUAAAUCAAAUUAAGAAAUAUCGUUUUUAUAUUAAAAGCUACCUUUGUAAAACAUGGAAUUUAUUCCAUCCAUUUAAAUAAAAUCCGGUGUUUCUAAACUCUGAUAUUUUUCCUAACUCACGGUCCUGAUGAAAUUUCCGCUACAAUAUUUUUCGAAAAUAAUCAUCGGUACCACUGAACUGCUCGCGGCACCCGAUUCCGUCCAGGGUGGGUCGGGGGUCGUGACACUAAUCGCCGCUUGUCUUAAUUGUUGAGUGUUAUGUGCUUUAUGUCCAAGGCUUGAUGCAAAGUUACUAUCGAGCCGGGGGUCACACUGGAAGCAAUCUCUCUAUUCCUACGGGGUAGAGGUAAGGUUGUCUACAUCUUACUCUCCUCAAACCCUACCCUAAUAUAUAUAUAUAGGUAGAGGAUCCUGUGCAUUAAUCUAAUAGUGUGAGAAGGGUGAGAAAUAUUGUGGCGAUGACGUGUGUUCUCAAUCUAAAUUAAUUCAAAAUGGUAAACAAGUAAUCUUCUUAUUGAUUUAAUUAAUUGAUAACUUUCCAUAACCGCCACCGUUAAUUAUAGGAAUACGAGUUAAGAAUUAAUCUACGAAUUUGUGUCAUCUCGUUCAGAAGUGUAUAGUGUUAUAUGAUGUUAUAUAGUGUUUUUGGUGUUAUAUAGUGUUAUAUGAUGGAUGUAUAGUGUUAUAUAGUGUUAUAUGGUGUUAUAUAGUGUUAUUUAGAGUUAUAUAGUGUUAUAUAUUGUUAUAGUGUUAUAUUU